rnacentral:rRNA from 1 species
GGGAGGCAGCAGUGGGGAAUAUUGCACAAUGGGCGAAAGCCUGAUGCAGCGACGCCGCGUGAGGGAUGACGGCCUUCGGGUUGUAAACCUCUUUCAGCAGGGAAGAAGCGAAAGUGACGGUACCUGCAGAAGAAGCGCCGGCUAACUACGUGCCAGCAGCCGCGGUAAUACGUAGGGCGCAAGCGUUGUCCGGAAUUAUUGGGCGUAAAGAGCUCGUAGGCGGCUUGUCACGUCGGUUGUGAAAGCCCGGGGCUUAACCCCGGGUCUGCAGUCGAUACGGGCAGGCUAGAGUUCGGUAGGGGAGAUCGGAAUUCCUGGUGUAGCGGUGAAAUGCGCAGAUAUCAGGAGGAACACCGGUGGCGAAGGCGGAUCUCUGGGCCGAUACUGACGCUGAGGAGCGAAAGCGUGGGGAGCGAACAGGAUUAGAUACCCUGGUAGUCCACGCCGUAAACGGUGGGCACUA